AACGAACGCUGGCGGCAUGCCUAACACAUGCAAGUCGAACGAGACCUUCGGGUCUAGUGGCGCACGGGUGCGUAACGCGUGGGAACCUGCCCUUAGGUUCGGAAUAACUCCCCGAAAGGGGUGCUAAUACCGGAUAAUGUCUUCGGACCAAAGAUUUAUCGCCUUUGGAUGGGCCCGCGUUGGAUUAGCUAGUUGGUAGGGUAAAAGCCUACCAAGGCGACGAUCCAUAGCUGGUCUGAGAGGAUGAUCAGCCACACUGGGACUGAGACACGGCCCAGACUCCUACGGGAGGCAGCAGUGGGGAAUAUUGGGCAAUGGGCGAAAGCCUGAUCCAGCAAUGCCGCGUGAGUGAUGAAGGCCUUAGGGUUGUAAAGCUCUUUUACCCGGGAUGAUAUUGACAGUACCGGGAGAAUAAGCUCCGGCUAACUCCGUG
rnacentral:rRNA from 1 species